rnacentral:rRNA from 1 species
CAGGCCUAACACAUGCAAGUCGAGGGGCAGCAUAAAACAAGCUUGCUUGUUUGGUGGCGACCGGCGCACGGGUGCGUAACGCGUAUGCAACCUACCCUGUACUGGGGGAUAGCCCGGAGAAAUUCGGAUUAAGACCCCAUAGUACUUAAGAUGGCAUCAUUCAUAAGUUAAAGGUUACGGUACAGGAUGGGCAUGCGUCCCAUUAGCUAGAUGGUAAGGUAACGGCUUACCAUGGCAACGAUGGGUAGGGGGCCUGAGAGGGUGGUCCCCCACACUGGUACUGAGACACGGACCAGACUCCUACGGGAGGCAGCAGUGAGGAAUAUUGGGCAAUGGAGGCAACUCUGACCCAGCCAUGCCGCGUGCAGGAAGACGGCCCUCUGGGUUGUAAACUGCUUUUGUUUGGGAAUAAACCCUUCUACGUGUAGGAGGCUGAAGGUACCUUACGAAUAAGCAUCGGCUAACUCCGUGCCAGCAGCCGCGGUAAUACGGAGGAUGCAAGCGUUAUCCGGAUUUAUUGGGUUUAAAGGGUCCGUAGGCGGAUCUUUAAGUCAGUGGUGAAAGCCCACAGCUCAACUGUGGAACUGCCAUUGAUACUGGAGAUCUUGAGUGUAGUAGAAGUAGGCGGAAUAGGGCAUGUAGCGGUGAAAUGCAUAGAUAUGCCCUAGAACGCCGAUUGCGAAGGCAGCUUACUAUGUUACAACUGACGCUGAGGGACGAAAGCGUGGGGAGCAAACAGGAUUAGAUACCCUGGUAGUCCACGCCGUAAACGGUGGGCGCUAGAUGUGGGAACCUUUCCA